GCCUAACCCUAACAUGGCGAUUAAAUAACCAAUUGCCCGCCAAAUAACUACGAGUAAAAACUUAAAAUUUAAAAGACUUGACGGUACUUCAAAACAACCUAGAGGAGCCUGUCUAAUAACCGAUACUCCACGAUCAACCCCACCCUUUCUAGCCAACAGUCUAUAUACCGCCGUCGCCAGCUUACCUUGUGAAAGAACCAAAGUGAGCUCAAUAGUCUAACACUAACACGACAGGUCGAGGUGUAACUCAUGAACGGGCUCAGAUGGGCUACAUUUUCUAACCCAGAAAAUACGAAUAACCUAUGAAACUAGAAACUGAAGGCGGAUUUAGCAGUACGCUAAGAACAGAAUACUUAGCCGAAACAAACGCAAUGAAGUGCGUACACACCGCCCGUCAUCCCUGUCAAAAUAUACUAAUUUAUAUAAAACACACCAACCCCCAAACAGGGCAAGUCGUAACAUGGUAAGUGUACUGGAAAGUGUACUUAGAAA
rnacentral:rRNA from 1 species